UACAGAGGGGCGAGCGUUGUUCGGAAUUACUGGGCGUAAAGGGCGCGUAGGCGGCCAACUAAGUCAGACGUGAAAUCCCUCGGCUCAACCGGGGAACUGCGUCUGAUACUGGAUGGCUUGAAUUCGGGAGAGGGAUGCGGAAUUCCAGGUGUAGCGGUGAAAUGCGUAGAUAUCUGGAGGAACACCGGUGGCGAAGGCGGCGACCUGGUCCGAUACUGACGCUGAGGCGCGAAAGCGUGGGGAGCAAACAGG
rnacentral:rRNA from 1 species